CCUACGGGUGGCUGCAGUGAGGAAUAUUGGUCAAUGGGCGCGAGCCUGAACCAGCCAAGUAGCGUGAAGGAUGACUGCCCUACGGGUUGUAAACUUCUUUUAUAAAGGAAUAAAGUGAGGCACGUGUGCCUUUUUGUAUGUACUUUAUGAAUAAGGAUCGGCUAACUCCGUGCCAGAAGCCGCGGUAAUACGGAGGAUCCGAGCGUUAUCCGGAUUUAUUGGGUUUAAAGGGAGCGUAGAUGGGUUGAUAAGUCAGUGGUGAAAUGUUGCGGCUCAACCGUAAAAUUGAAAUUGAUACUGGAGAUCUGGAGAACAGAUGAGGUAGGGGGAAUGCGGGGUGUAGCGGUGAAAUGCUUAGAGAUCACACAGAACUCCGAUUGCGAAGGCAGCUUACAAAUCU
rnacentral:rRNA from 1 species